CCUACGGGAGGCAGCAGUGAGGAAUAUUGGUCAAUGGGCGAGAGCCUGAACCAGCCAAGUCGCGUGAAGGAUGACGGCCCUACGGGUUGUAAACUUCUUUUGUCAGGGAGCAAUUGGGUCCACGCGUGGGCUUAGCUAUCGUCGCUGAAUAAAAAGCAUCGGCUAGCUCCGUGCCAGCCGCCGCGGUAAUAGGGGGGAUGCGAGCGUUAUCGGGCUUUAUGGGCUUAAAAGGGUGCGUAGGCGGAUUAUCAGUUCAGCGGUAAAGAUUCGGGGCUAAACCCCGUCGUGCAGUUGAAACUGGGAGUCUUGAGUGGGCGAGAGGUAUGUGGAAUGCGAGGUGUAGCGGUGAAAUGCAUAGAUAUCACGCAGAACUCCGAUUGCGAAGGCAGCAUACCGGCGUGCAACUGACGCUGAAGCACGAAAGCGUGGGUAUCGAACAGGAUUAGAUACCCGUGUAGUC
rnacentral:rRNA from 1 species